rnacentral:pre_miRNA from 1 species
UUCAGGAUCCAUCUUACCUGACAGUGCUGGAUUGUACAAAAAAGUUCUAACACUGUCUGGUAACGAUGUUUCCUGGG